AAAGGCACUUUAGCACUUGAAAUUUUGACAGGUGAUGAAUUUUUGCCUGCUCUUUCGAUCUACCGGAGUAUGGUUUAAAAAAAUUCGCGGAAGUCCUAUGUUGGAACGCAAAAUCUCUGAUUUCGGCUGACCUGUCAAUCAAAAUGGCCGCCAUUUUGUAAGUAAUACCACAUUUUCUUUUGAGGAUAACGGUUAGAAAUGUUCCUUGGGACCACCCCUUUAAGAAAAAAGUUGCCCCAGUGGAUCGGCGGGAGGGAUGGUGGGGUGCAAUAGAUCCGUAUGCGGGUGCCCCCGACUAUAGGUAAGUAUAUGAAACGGACCAUAAUCUUUUAAGUCUUACUUGCACCUUAUUAUGCUUUCAAAAUUGAAAAGAAAUGAAUAAAAGGUCGCCUCAAACUCAAAUAAACUCUCAAAAGGUUCCCUUGUCAGAUAAUUUCUCUUAAUCUACCCACAUAUAACGAUAUUUUUCAACAAUUUGAGAAAUGCAAAUCACCUUUUUCGAUUUAUUAUUUCACUUUGAAGUAAGUAAACACAGCCUCAAUCUGCCAAGAAAACAACACCCAAAAAAUCCAAUCCUCGUAUUUAUCAACGCCUCAGACACUCGAUACGGUAAUCAAAAACUUGGUAAAAUUCUUGAAAUAUUCGACGUUUUGUUUUCGAAAAAGACAAAAAAAUACUAGUCAACUACGUGCGCAAAACCUGCAGCAGCGAGACAAAAGUAUUCGAAAAAUGCUGACGCAAGACGUAAACCGUCGACAAAAUUCUGCCAUCGAGAAUAAGGGCAGGUAAGGGUAACGGUAUAAGGGAAGAAUAAAGGAAGAAAAAUUCCACCUUUCUUGAAUCAAGCAGUCCGGUCGGACUGCCCCGCCAAGAUAGAAAAAAAAACGCACACAAAAAAAAACAACAACAACAAUAAUAAUACAAACGUGAUGACAGUCCGGCCACUUACUGCUUAAUUCUCUGAACAACUAAGCGUAUUUUCGAUGUUCAAUUUCUCGCGAAUAAAAAAACGUACGAUUCUGAUUUUUUGAUAUGUUGUUGGCAUCAACGAGAGCUUUAAUUUGGUAUACUUACAAACUUUCUACGGUAAAAAAUGAUGUAGAUUGAAGUACCCAAAGUUAGCAUUUUGGGGUAAUUUUUGAAAUCACAAAUUUUCGUGUCAACAAAAAACUACUGAACCAAUUCAAGUCAAAUUUCGUACACUGGUGUAAAUUAACGAGUUAUUUUUAAAUACAACGUCAGUUUUGAAAAAAAAAUAUUUUUGACCCCCUUUUUUUCAAUUUGAAAAUUUCUCUCCCCCCAAAAACACCUCCAAAAUGAAAAUUUUUCGUAGUACCGUAGAAAAGGGUCAUCUACAUCAUAUUCACUAUCAAUGUGCAAAAUUUCAAGCAAAUCGGUUCAUUAGGAGAAGCUGUAGCCUUGUCAACGGAAAUUACCUUCAUGAUUUUUCAGUGACAGAAAUGAGAAAGUAGUGGAAAAGAAAAAAUAAAAUGAAAAUUUUCAAUUGAAGUGUGAAAAAGGGUCAUCUACAUGACUUACACUACCACUAUACAAAAUUUCAAGUAAAUCAGUUCAUUUGAAGAGGCUGUAGCCUUGUCAACGGAAAGUUCCGGUGGUAUAUUUCUAUCAAGCAUACUGAUUUACGGCGGCAUCGGUAAAGAAAGGAGGAGAAGCGGUUUGGGCGAAGCCCAAGGGGGGGUGUGGGGGGGACGAAGUCCCCCCCAACGAACAGAAAGUACUAGUAGUGAUAAGAAUAUUCCUUCAUGAAUCGUGAUAUCACCGGCGACAUCGAGUUGAUCAAGAAUCAAGAUCAAGAAAAUGUCCAUUCCAUGUUUUCUCCGAACUUCCGAAACUGUGAUUUGAUUGCUGGUUUGCUGCCCUGAAUCAAGCGAAAUUCUACGAAAUUCAAGGAUUCAAUCAGGGAACAAUUUUGGUGCUCGAAGAAAGUGAUCUAUCGAAGAAAGUGAGGAUGACAAAGAUUACGAAUGAAGAUUCUUUUCAAUCAAUUAAAAAGUACUUGAAAGUAUAAAUAUCAAUUAUAUGGAGAAUAACAACAGUAGUAUGACACCAAGUAGAAGCAAACAUAAGAUGAGUAGUAUAGUUGGAAUGGGUGAACCUAGCGGUGGUAUUAAAUUAAUAAUUUCGCCACAAUACGAACCACCUCAAUUGUAACCAAGCAAGAAAAGGAGCGCAUGCAAGAAGAAAUGUACCAGCAAAUGUCCAGAUAUAAACGUAUGCGAAGGGAAGAUCAAGCUGCUUUAGAGAUGAGAUGGAAACGUGAAUUAUCAUUAUUAGAUGAAUCGACACCAAAGAGACAAACAAUCGACCCAAGAUAUCUGCAUAGUUAUCGUUGGCAAUAAAACUUAUCUCGAAAAAGAUAGAAUUUAGAGUUAGUUGACCAGUAUUAAGUAAACUUCAGACCUCAGGUUCAUGUUUAGCUGCAUUUUUACUUGACUAAUGUGUUCAAUUCUAAGUAUUUGUUCUAGAUACGCUAAACAAGUUGGAGCAAAAGUAUAGCAAAACAGUAUCUUGUGUCAGCAAAACUAAACCGUGAUAUAGAAAAAUUAUUCUUAGAAUUUACUCGGUUCAUGGUACAAAAAGCCGAAGAGCAAAUAAGUAAACUGAAAGAAAAGCCUAGAAAAUGCUGCGAUGGUCCAUCACAUUGAUAUCAUCGUUCUAAAAAUUAAUCAGUAUUUUGCAAGUUUCAUUAUCAAUAUCAAUGUAAUUUAUAUCCAACUGCGUAUUAUUACGUAGGAUCGAAUUUGCGUCCUGUUAGAAUAGCUAGAUUUGUGAUGUAUUGAUUUGUCUUAAGAAUAAGACUGGUUUAUACUGAACUUAAUGUACGUUAACAUAAAGUUGCCUUUGUUUAACUUCUAGGUUCAAGUUUAAGGUUACCAUUAAAUUCAGUAUAGCCGCACCUUCAUCGUUGAUCGAGUCAUAAUAGGUACACGUACCUAAUUGCUGAGUGUUGCACGCGCAUUGUUUCAAUUUUAAUACACAUUUUUUUUCAAUUUCCUA